rnacentral:rRNA from 1 species
CAUGCAAGUCGAACGAUGAAACUCAUUAGAUUUCUUCGGAAUGAAAAUGAAUGGAUUAGUGGCGAACGGGUGAGUAACGCGUGAGUAACCUGCCUUACACAAGGGGAUAGCCUCUGGAAACGGAGAAUAAUACCCUAUGAAACCACACAAUCGCAUGAUAAUCUGGUCAAAAUGUUUAGUGGUGUAAGAUGGACUUGCGUCUGAUUAGCUAGUUGGUGAGAUAAAAGCUCACCAAGGCAACGAUCAGUAGCCGGCUUGAGAGAGUGUACGGCCACAUUGGGACUGAGACACGGCCCAGACUCCUACGGGAGGCAGCAGUGGGGAAUUUUGCACAAUGGGGGAAACCCUGAUGCAGCGACGCCGCGUGAUUUAGAAGGCCUUCGGGUUGUAAAAAUCUUUUGUAUAGGAAGAAAAUGACAGUACUAUACGAAUAAGGUCCGGCUAAUUACGUGCCAGCAGCCGCGGUAAUACGUAAGGACCGAGCGUUGUCCGGAAUCAUUGGGCGUAAAGGGUACGUAGGCGGGUUUUUAAGUUAGAAGUCAAAGGCUAUAGCUCAACUAUAGUAAGCUUCUAAAACUGGGGACCUUGAGUAAUGGAAGGGAAAGUGGAAUUCCUAGUGUAGCGGUGGAAUGCGCAGAUAUUAGGAGGAAUACCGGUGGCGAAGGCGACUUUCUGGCCAUUAACUGACGCUGAGGUACGAAAGCGUGGGUAGCAAACAGGAUUAGAUACCCUGGUAGUCCACGCCGUAAACGAUGAGUGUUAGGUGUCUGGAGUAAAUCUGGGUGCCGCAGCUAACGCAUUAAACACUCCGCCUGGGGAGUACGCACGCAAGUGUGAAACUCAAAGGAAUUGACGGGGACCCGCACAAGCAGCGGAGCAUGUGGUUUAAUUCGAAGCAACGCGAAGAACCUUACCAAGUCUUGACAUAUUUUGGAAGCACUUAGAGAUAAGAGCCUAUAUCUUCGGAUAACUGAAAUACAGGUGGUGCAUGGUUGUCGUCAGCUCGUGUCGUGAGAUGUUGGGUUAAGUCCCAUAACGAGCGCAACCCCUUUUGCUAGUUACCAUCAUUAAGUUGGGGACUCUAGCAAUACUGGCGGUGACAAACCGGAGGAAGGGGGGG